rnacentral:rRNA from 1 species
UACGGGGGGGGCAAGCGUUGUUCGGAAUUACUGGGCGUAAAGGGCUCGUAGGCGGCCAACUAAGUCGGAUGUGAAAUCCCCAGGCUUAACCUGGGAACUGCGCUUGUAACUGGCAAGCUAGAGUGUGGCAGAGGGGGGUGGAAUUCCACGUGUAGCAGUGAAAUGCGUAGAUAUUCGGAAGAACACCAGUGGCGAAGGCGGCUCACUGGACUGGUAUUGACGCUGAGGUGCGAAAGCGUGGGGAGCAAACAGG